ensembl:ncRNA lncRNA:CR43484 long non-coding RNA:CR43484
AAAGAACAUUCGUAUCUGAGGAAGUACCAGAACAACCCAACAACAAAAACAAGAAGAAUGGCAAAAUUCGUAUUCAUAUUUUCAUAGGCGAUCAUUAGACAAAUAUACUCGUAGAGGUGCAGUGAAAGUGGUCUGGGAAUGGUCGAGGAAUUCCGACAGUUCUGAUCACGAGCUAAACGCUUGUGCUGACUGUGAUUGACGUCGGAGCGAUAAGUACCGGAUCAGCUUUAUAUAUGUUUUUUUUUUUUUAUAUUUCCCCAGGAGAGAGGGAGAGCGUAAUCGCGGCAGCUGGCUGGCUGGCUGGCCAAUCGUUUGGACCAACUUGAUGCUGAGUUUGAGUACGAGACGUGUUGGCCAUGUCCGAAGUGUCGAGGUGUCCGCGGCCCUAUUAAGAGCUGGCAUUUGAAAUGAUUUAUAUAAUGCGGCAUUGUCUGGUGAUGCCAGACACCCGAUAGACCCCCUAUGCCAGAACAUAUGUGAAUACAGUACAGUUAUAGGUGGAAACAAUAUAGCACAUACGAUAUACUCGUACAAACCCAUUGUCCAGAGUUGGCCUGUCAACAGCAAUUUGACAUUUUCGUUGUCACUUUUUGGUGUGCCUGACAUUUUACACACAACAUAAAU